rnacentral:rRNA from 1 species
AACGAACGCUGGCGGCAGGCCUAACACAUGCAAGUCGAGCGAGGACUUCGGUCCUAGCGGCGGACGGGUGAGUAACGCGUGGGAACGUGCCCUUUGCUUCGGAAUAGCCCUGGGAAACUGGGAGUAAUACCGGAUGAGCCCUUUGGGGGAAAGAUUUAUCGGCGAAGGAUCGGCCCGCGUUGGAUUAGGUAGUUGGUGGGGUAAUGGCCUACCAAGCCGACGAUCCAUAGCUGGUUUGAGAGGAUGAUCAGCCAUACUGGGACUGAGACACGGCCCAGACUCCUACGGGAGGCAGCAGUGGGGAAUCUUAGACAAUGGGGGAAACCCUGAUCUAGCCAUGCCGCGUGAGCGAUGAAGGCCUUAGGGUUGUAAAGCUCUUUCAGCUGGGAAGAUAAUGACGGUACCAGCAGAAGAAGCCCCGGCUAACUCCGUG